rnacentral:rRNA from 1 species
GCCCCGUAAUCGGAAUGAGUACACUUUAAAUCCUUUAACAAGGAUCCAUUGGAGGGCAAGUCUGGUGCCAGCAGCCGCGGUAAUUCCAGCUCCAAUAGCGUAUAUUAAAGUUGUUGCGGUUAAAAAGCUCGUAGUUGGUUCUGCGUGCCGCGCUGUCGGUUCGCCGCCUGUCGGUGUAACUGGCAUGUCGCGGCAUGUCCUGUCGGUGGUGAACGGAGUCCACAAUGCUGCAUAGGCUUUAUUGCCCAUGUUAGCGUCGUGUGCACUUCCGUUGGCCGAUCUCUCCUACUUCGGUGCUCUUAAACGAGUGUCGAGGUAGGCCGACACGUUCACUUUGAACAAAUUAGAGUGCUUAAAGCAGGCUGAAAUAUCUGCCUGAAUAGUGGUGCAUGGAAUGAUAAAACAGGACCUCGGUUCUAUUUUGUUGGUUUUAGGAAUAUGAGGUAAUGAUCAAUGUGGACUGGCGGGGGCAUUCGUAUUGCGACGUUAGAGGUGAAAUUCUUGGAUCGUCGCAAGACGCACUAGAGCGAAAGCAUUUGCCAAGUAUGUCUUAAUUGAUCAAGAACGAAAGUUAGAGGUUCGAAGGCGAUCAGAUACCGCCCUAGUUCUAACCAUAAACGAUGCCAGCCAGCGAUCCGCCGAUGUUCCUUUAAUGACUCGGCGGGGCGCUUCUUCCCGGGAAACCAAAGCUUUUGGGUUCCGGGGGAAGUAUGGUU